rnacentral:rRNA from 1 species
GACGGAGGGGGCGAGCGUUGUCCGGAGUCACUGGGCGUAAAGCGCGCGCAGGCGGCAACCUUAGUGUCGUGUGAAAGCCCCCGGCUCAACCGGGGGAGGCCAUGGCAAACUGGGUCGCUCGAGCUGCGGAGAGGCCCCUCGAAUUGCCGGUGUAGCGGUGAAAUGCGUAGAGAUCGGCAGGAAGACAAAGGGGGAAGCCAGGGGGCUGGCCGCAGGCUGACGCUGAGGCGCGACAGCGUGGGGAGCAAACCGG